CAAAAUCGAAGACGAAGGAAAACUCGCUUUCUCUCACGGGCACCAGCUGAGUGCGGUCGGCCCCAGACGCUGAUGCAGGCUAGGGAGGCGACGCUGACUCCCAAAAACAAAACAAGCGCCCAAAUUGAGCCCUUCAAAAAAUACAAAGGAGCAUACCUAAACGUAAAAAACCCUAAAAACGUUUCUCAGAGAUAGAAUAAGGAGAAGGACCAUACUGAAACAAAAACAAAAACAGAAAUAUCUGCUCAUGUCCCCAAAAUCCCCUCCUCCUCAGGCACGUCGUUUAUCUUAUUUAAAUACAAUGUUCACUCUCUGAUAAAAGCUUUCUUCAGUUCUUAAAACUCUUUUAAAAGCUUUAUUAUUGUUCUUCUUAUUAUUUAUGCACUUAAUAACAUACUGAUCAAAAGUACAAAACAUGGAUUUCGAAACGGAAUCGCAGAAGAAGAAGUACGGAGCUGGGGUUUUUGGAGAUGUCUACGCUAUAACUAUGAUGCUUCCCAAGGACCUCGACAAGAUGGAUCCUCCUCCUUCUCCUCCUCCCUUUCAGCUCCGAUUUCAACUUCCUGGGCUCAACUUUCGAAUUCACCUAAACUUUACUGAUCAUUGGAGGUGAAUAGACUAAUAAAGUAUAAAUUUAUAGAGAAUUUUAUUUUGAUUUGCAUAAUCAAUUUUGCUUCAAGAGAGUAGGUCGCUCAAUUUUUCUUGUGCAAUAAAAAUAAUUUAUUUGAAAAUAACUAAAGAAUGCAACUUCCUCAGUUAAUUAAAAUGAAAUUAUCAAUUUAAUCUUUUUAUCUAAACAUGCUUUUAAAUUUAAUGAAAUUAAUUGAUUUACAUAAUCACAACGCAAUAAUUUUAUAUCUACAAAUAAAAUGAAUACAAUGCUUUUUCUCUUAUUUGCAUCCGCAGUUACGAUAUUGAAUUUAUUUGUUACGGAUCAAUUUUAAAUUAAAAAAAAUACUCGAUCCAGUCAUAAUUAGUAUGAAGAAUGUUAGCAAUUAGCAAAAAUCAAAAUAAAAUUAUCAAAAUUAAUAUGAAAAACAUUAGUUUUAACGAAAAUUCGAUUAUAAUAUAUAUUUAGAGAGUUAAUUGUCAUGAAAUUAAAUAAAAUGGUUGAGUGGAUUAAUUGUUUUAUUUUCCAAGAUAGAUAACAUAACAUUAGUCAUGUGAUUUUCAUUUUUGCCCUGCGCAAAAUAUUAAAAAUUCACUUGAGCUUAUUUGAAAUUGAAAUGGUCCCUUCCCUUCACUUUGCCUCGAACCAAAAAUAAAGAUGCACCACACCACAUGGCUGUGUGACUGAGACAUAGUCAAGUCAAUCAACUUUUUCUUUCCCCAUUUUAUAGCCAAAAAUUUAAUUUGAUGAAUAAAUAUAAAAAAGCUCAUUAUUAAAAUCUUAUUUUCAUAAGAGAGAGAGAGAGCCCAAUUGGCCCACAAAGAAAAGGUGAAAGCCCCGUCGGUGCACUUUACCCUUUUUCAACUUUUAUUAAUUCAAAAUCGAAGACGAAGGAAAACUCGCUUUCUCUCACGGGCACCAGCUGAGUGCGGUCGGCCCCAGACGCUGAUGCAGGCUAGGGAGGCGACGCUGACUCCCAAAAACAAAACAAGCGCCCAAAUUGAGCCCUUCAAAAAAUACAAAGGAGCAUACCUAAACGUAAAAAACCCUAAAAACGUUUCUCAGAGAUAGAAUAAGGAGAAGGACCAUACUGAAACAAAAACAAAAACAGAAAUAUCUGCUCAUGUCCCCAAAAUCCCCUCCUCCUCAGGCACGUCGUUUAUCUUAUUUAAAUACAAUGUUCACUCUCUGAUAAAAGCUUUCUUCAGUUCUUAAAACUCUUUUAAAAGCUUUAUUAUUGUUCUUCUUAUUAUUUAUGCACUUAAUAACAUACUGAUCAAAAGUACAAAACAUGGAUUUCGAAACGGAAUCGCAGAAGAAGAAGUACGGAGCUGGGGUUUUUGGAGAUGUCUACGCUAUAACUAUGAUGCUUCCCAAGGACCUCGACAAGAUGGAUCCUCCUCCUUCUCCUCCUCCCUUUCAGCUCCGAUUUCAACUUCCUGAUCUCAGG
rnacentral:lncRNA from 1 species